UACGGGGGGGGCAAGCGUUGUUCGGAAUUACUGGGCGUAAAGGGCUCGUAGGCGGCCAACUAAGUCGGAUGUGAAAUCCCCAGGCUUAACCUGGGAACUGCAUCCGAUACUGGAUGGCUUGAAUCCGGGAGAGGGAUGCAGAAUUCCAGGUGUGGCGGUGAAAUGCGUAGAUAUCUGGAGGAAUACCGGUGGCGAAGGCGGCAUCCUGGACCGGCAUUGACGCUGAGUGAGCGAAAGCUAGGGGAGCAAACGGG
rnacentral:rRNA from 1 species